rnacentral:rRNA from 1 species
UACGUAGGUGGCAAGCGUUGUCCGGAUUUAUUGGGUUUAAAGGGUGCGUAGGCGGCUUUGUAAGUCAGUGGUGAAAUAUGGCAGCUCAACUGUCAGGGUGCCAUUGAUACUGCAGAGCUUGAGUACAGAUGAGGUAGGCGGAAUUGACGGUGUAGCGGUGAAAUGCUUAGAUAUCGUCAAGAACACCGAUAGCGAAGGCAGCUUACUGGGCUGUAACCGACGCUGAGGCACGAAAGUGUGGGGAUCAAACAGG